AUAGGUUAUGGCCGAUGAGUCCCUUCAUAACACACUGAGAGCCACUUUUGACACUCCCAGAAAAGGCAGGUUAACAAAACCCCUUGAUGGAAGGAAGACCCUCAUUGCCCAAUGUACCCAAGCCUCUUUGAACCUUGCUUAGACUGAACUGCAAAUGUCUUGACUGCUCUGGGCUCCUUAGUGCAACUCCUUCCCACAGAAGCCAUCAGGAGCCUGGUCCAGGAAGCUCCUCUCCUACACCUGCCUUAAAAGGCCCAGCUCUGCUGGGGAGUAAGGUUCAUGGGGGCCGUCCCAAUGCAAAAGGGAAUCUCUGCCAUCACCCACUGCAACCACAUGGUAGCCACUCUGCAGCCGGCAGGCGUGAGGCAUGCUGCGCUAACAUGGGAGGGCGGAGGCUCUGCCUGACUUCCCAGAAGCCCAGUGAGAAGUCCAGGACAAUCAGCAGGUGCUAUGGGAACCUUGGCUGGCAGGCACCAUGUCGUCCUGUAUGAUCGGCAGGACCGGCUCCUUCCUGAAGACACCGAUUCUUGGCGGCUCCUGACAAGGAUUGAGAGGAUUUGUGGGGGACAGCCCUGAAGCCCUGAGCCCUCAACUCAAUGAAGGGAUUGUGCUGGUGUAGACCCACAGCCAUCCAGCUCUGUCACUGAUGAAGGUCUGAACUGCCAUACUCUGCCCCUUUGGUGUCAGCCUUAAAGGUCAGUUUUAGGUGAGUUUCAACCAGUGGCUGUAGAUGGGUCCUUUGUUUACCAGUUUCCCCACAUCCUGUCUGAGACCAUUGCUAGUUUUUGUCUGCACCAGUCUUAGGGAAAACAACCUGGACACCGUGGGUGAGAUCACCAGUGGGCUCCAAGCCAGAGCAUGGGCCUGGGACAGGGUGGGUUACCUUGGCAUACUCUAACAUACUCAAACCUCAUUUCUUUUGGGGUGAUCAGACCCAACAGCAGGUCAUGGGGGCGACGAAGUCCAGUGGAGUCCAAGGAAUGAGAAAGACAGUUUGAGAGACAAAAUGGGACCAGGGGGCUAUCACAAGUGUGGAGGCUGCAACAAACAGGUGGUGAGGAUGUGGGGGUUGAAAGGAAACGGUGUAUCAAGUGAAUGAGAAACAUAUGGCUACUUGAGAACAUGGGAAUGCUAGAAGCAAGGAGCAGCAAGUCUAGCAAACAUGCAAGCCCUGCCUCAGCUUCUCUCCCAACACUCAGCUUUUCUUCCAACACAUUUCAUGUGCAAGGUUCUCGUGCCCACUCCUCUUGUACAGUUUGGCAGCCUCAUGGAGCUUCCCUGGUAGGAAAACACAUCUGCCAGAAACAGGUCAUUGUUGGUCUCUCCCCGCUUCUUCCUCUCCUGGAAAAAUUAGAAGCAAAGGAAAUGGCCUCUGCAGCCAUGGGCAGAAAGCAGCCUUUACAAAGGUUAGAUGUGGCUAUUUCAAGUGAGGCCCCUGGGCCUUCCUACUGGAACCUGGGCUUGGCUCCUGGCUGUUGUCUCUCUCCCCUAGGUUCCCGCUGGGAAGGCUUGAUAACAAAAGCAGGCUUUUACCAGACAAGCAAAGAUCAAAAAAAGAUGCAAACCUUUGUUUGUUUAAUGGAAAUUCCUCAGGGUUGCUUUCCUGUGUAUUCCAAAGCUAUGACGGAAUAGUUUGAAUAGUGUGUGCUCUGACUCAUCCAUGACCCCUAAGCUCCCAAGAUCUCCCAAAUCCGCAGGCCCCGUUUGGCAGAGUUGUGGCUCAUGGGGAUGACAGAGCAGAAUGUUUAGGGUUUCUGCCCAAGAGGGAGACCAAUAAAAUAGGAUGACAAGUCUUACGAUGUCCCUACUUCUAAAGAGAAGGUAAGAAAUCCCGUGCUGAACAUCCACUAGGUUCUGGGUAUAUACUUUAUACACACAUGGCCCCUUUAUUCCUCUCAGUGACCCUCAGGGUAGGUCUCACUACCCAAGUGUUAGAGUGAAGGACGCUGAGACCAAGAAGAGGAACAGGUCAGGGUCAGACAGAGCUGGAAUUUGGACACAGUUCUGUCUGACUCCAGAUAUUCCUUGUAUCACACAAUACUGUCUUCUGAAGCAAGUGAUUGUCCCCAACACACACACACACACACACACACUCUCUCUCUCUCUCUCUCUCUCUCUCUCUCUCUCUCUCUCUCUCAGCAGAGCUGAGGAUAAAGAGGAAUAUCCUGCACACUUCUUCCUUCUGUGUCAGGGAACAUUUGCUUGUCUACAGCUCGAGUAUUUGUAAACACUCAGUAGCACCCAAACCCUGAGCCCUAGCAGUUUCCUUUUGCUUGUUUACUAGCAAGAGUAGCAUGUCGGAGGACGAUGAGACAUUGAAUCAAACUCUUAGACAAGCUGGUGAAAGUUUUAACGACUGCUGGAGGCAACAUGCUUCCACACUGACAGAAAUCAUCUUUCAAAAAUCCUGCACAUAUCUCAGGCUUAUGAAACAAACUAAUUCCUAAUAGUUGGAAAUGAAUUAAAAGCUUGCGGUGAGAUAAAAGAUAGAUUUUGGCUGGAUGUGAUGACUCAUGCCUGUGAUCCCUACACUUUAGGAGGGCACAGCAGGAGGAUCGCCUGAGCCCAGGAAUUCAAGACCAGCCUGGUCAACAUAGCAAGACUCUCUCUCUGCAAAAAAA
rnacentral:lncRNA from 1 species